AGUCAUAGCUUUGACUCAGUCCACACCCUUCAACUUAAAGAGGAGUUUGGAGGAGGUGGAGCAAAGCAACGCUGGAAGCAGAGUUUAAGCUUGGACUUGAGCUCGGAGGCUUUGCAAGCAGCAUGUACGUACCCUGUGACCUGCAGUGACUUUGUGCUCUGCUCUGUGACUUUUGGAUCCUUUGAGUUUCAGCGUGUAGAGGCUUCAGGUUUUUCUUUUUUCUCUCACCGUCUCUACUCAAAGACAUGUGUGAGUUUUUCAGCAUCAGUAAAGUUCCAGAGCAGAUGGUGGAGGAAAAAUAAGAAGACGUGGAUCCUGAUAAAGAGAGAUGUGUAAGAGAAGGAGGCAGGAGGCAGGGAAGGGUGGCCUGACUCAUUCAGGAAGGAAGUACAGGAAAUGUCCCAUCAGGAAAACAAGUAGCAAUGUAAUUGUGAUUCCUGCGCUCAUUUACUGCCCGGGUGGUCAUGAAAGCAGAGCCCUGAUUGUGUGUGUAUCCAUGUGUAUAUGUGUGUGCAGGCAGUUACCCAUGUUUGGUGUGUAGGGACAAAAGUGAAAGAGACUUUAGGAAAUGCCUGUGGUGAUUGACCAAACAAUGCUGAGUGUUUGUGUGAGUAGUUUUGUGUUAAGGACCCCCCUUAAGUGUUACCCAAUUAAGAAGCUAUAACAUUAAUUAGACAUUAAACCACAUUUAUGAUUUCAUGUUUAAUAUAUGUUUGUAAUGUUCCUUUCAUUCACCUUUAAAAUCAUAUUUCUGCUUAGUUUUUUUGUUGUUUUUUUUACCUUUUGCUAUGCAUAUUGUAACACACUAUUUUCUUACUAUGCAAUUGUAUUUUUAAUGUUUGCAAGUGUCACAGCACAACAAUGAUUCUGACAAACAUUAUCUCAUAAAAUGAGUCAACUAAUUAUAAUGAAUAUGAAGGAAAAAGCAAAAAUGAAGGGGAAAAUGUGUGCAUUAAUUGCAAUAUUGGUAUAGUAACUAUAGUGGUAUUUAUUUUUGUGUUUAUCGGAAAUGUGUACUUUUCAUUUCAGCCUCCCUUGAAGUGUUUAUUGAAUAUCACCAGUGCUGUUGACAAUGUUGCGUUAUGGGAUGAUUCUGGUUCAGUAAAUGUAUAAAGAACACAUUAAAGCACAAAGUUAAAGAGACGUAUAUAAUGCAUUUUAGGAAUACUGGCUGUUAAGGUAAGUGAGAUUGUGUCUGUGUUUCCUUUAUGUCCAGAAUCUGUGCAGUAUACAGUAUCUGUUUUUUGCUUCCCCUUGUGGUGGGGGUGAGAUGGUGCCAGGGCUCAAUCUCCUGUGCCUACUGAGCUGAUAACAGUUUGAUGUUAAACAAACACUGGCUCAGUUCAGCAGGAACCGGAGUUAGGCCUUCUAGAAACCACAACGGAUUUUGAUAACGAUUCAGUGAGACAGGCUGUACACCAAAAAUGUGUAUGUGUCUAGGUUUCCCUCAGCACUGUAAAGUAGAGUGUUUGCAUCUGUUCCAGUUUUUUCAGCCGAGGGUGCCAUUAUUUCUUUACUGCUCUAAAAGGUCUUUAGACUUUUUCCGCAAAGUCCCAUCAAGGACAUUCUUCAGAGAUGAGGAAGCACAGGAGGCACAUAAACAUAGCCACAAAUCCUGUCUGAACCUCUCACUGUGACGCUUGUGAUGGAGGAAAUCUGCUUCUGUUGGUUGGGUAUUACUAGAAAAUCAUAGGAGCAGAGUUUUUCCAGUUGUACUCUCUACAUCGGGCAGCAGAAAGGUUCCAGUAAAACUCAUUUGGGUGUCAUUGAAGCCAUGGGGAUUGUUAAUGGAUUGCACUUAUACAGAGCUUUCCUUGCCUUGUAUUAUUUUUUAUUGUUGUAUGACUCAGAGCAAGUAAUAUAGAGAAAACUAACUUCAGCCUGAAUUCAGCUUGGAAAAAACACCUGCUUGAAUAUUCAGUGUUGGGUAGUAUAUUCCAUUUAUAUUCAAACUACAUCUAAUCUAGAUAAAAAGGUUUUAUUUAUCUCUACUAAGUACGAUAUUUUUGUCUCAUCUUUGCCGUCGUUGCUCAUUCGUUGUCUGUGGCAGGCAUUCAUUUGCUUUUAAAAAAUGAUGCAGCACAUAAAGGUGUCUAUCAACAACCCCAGAGCAUUGGUCCACGCUGUAUUUACUAACCGAGCCCUUUUGUUCACAUUAUUUAUAAAUGUCUAAUAAUCAUUCAAGAGCUUCUUUGGACAGCCCUCAGUGAAUCCUGUUAAACAGUUUAUUCCUGGGAACAAGACUAUAUUACCAAGUGUACUGUAAAUGAAAUAAAUAUGUGCAUACAUUAA